CCUACGGGUGGCAGCAGUGAGGAAUAUUGGUCAAUGGACGAGAGUCUGAACCAGCCACGUAGCGUGAAGGAUGACUGCCCUAUGGGUUGUAAACUUCUUUUAUAUGGGAAUAAAAUGUUCCACGUGUGGGAUUUUGUAUGUACCAUAUGAAUAAGGAUCGGCUAACUCCGUGCCAGCAGCCGCGGUAAUACGGAGGAUCCGAGCGUUAUCCGGAUUUAUUGGGUUUAAAGGUAGCGUAGGUGGAGUGUUAAGUCAGUUGUGAAAGUUUGCGGCUCAACCGUAAAAUUGCAGUUGAAACUGGCAGUCUUGAGUACAGUAGAGGUGGGCGGAAUUCGUGGUGUAGCGGUGAAAUGCUUAGAUAUCACGAAGAACUCCGAUUGCGAAGGCAGUUCACUGGACUGCAACUGACACUGAGGCUCGAAAGUGUGGGUAUCAAACAGGAUUAGAUACCCCUGUAGUC
rnacentral:rRNA from 1 species